rnacentral:rRNA from 1 species
CACGUAGGGCGCAAGCGUUGUCCGGAAUUAUUGGGCGUAAAGAGCUCGUAGGCGGUCUGUUGCGUCCGCUGUGAAAACUCGGGGCUUAACCCCGAGCCUGCAGUGGAUACGGGCAGACUAGAGGUAGGUAGGGGAGAGUGGAAUUCCUGGUGUAGCGGUGAAAUGCGCAGAUAUCAGGAAGAACACCCGUGGCGAAGGCGGCUCUCUGGGACGGUACUGACGCUGAGACGCGAAAGCGUGGGGAGCGAACAGA